UGGCAAAGAGUAACUCAUUUUGAUUCCUCUGGCUACCCCUGGCCCUAGCUUUGAAGGAAUCAUGCGACACACUCGCACUCCACUACCCCAUCCCAUGGAAAAACGCUCCCACCAUCGAGGUGUUGACCAAAAUUUCGCUGUGUGCAUGAGACACACACUCGCACUCCUCCACUCCUCCAUAGCCGAUCGCUCCCACCGUUGCGAAUUUGCGAGAAUUUUUGCUCUGAGCGUGAGACCCUGAAGCGCAAGAGAUGACACUAUGUGUAAAGACGAUCAUAAUUCGAUAUGGUCAAAAUGCAUCAAUAAUUGUUUCAUUUAUCUGGUAAUGAUGUUUUCACUUCAUCAAAAUUUUAAACAUUAACAACUAGGCUGAUAACAAUAGUUGAAAUGUAAAUCAGAAUAAAAUCAAUUCAUUUGAAGUAAAAUAAAUUCCAUUAUACUUUAUUUUGACCAUAUGAUCAACACUUGUACAUAGUGCCAUUUACUUUGUGUUCUUCACUCUCGCGUUGUGUUUUGAUCGUUCGAAACUCAUUGCCAGAACGAAUGCAAAUUUCAUUUGGGAAGGAUCGGUGCCGGAAGAUGCAGUGAAAAUUAUAAAAUGUUUAUAGAAAAGUGGUUAAGUAAAUCGUGAAAGAUGUCAACGCAGGCGUAAAUGCAGUUUGUUUUGUUACUUGAUCUACGGCAAUUUCAUUACCAAAGCACCUGAUAACCGAUCAAAGAAGGUGAAUCGGGCUUACAGAGUCGCCGUUUAACUUCAAAUAUCUUCGUGAUCGGCAAACGCAUCAAACAGCAAGUGUUUUUCUUCCAACAGCACGCGCCAUCGGUGGAGCAAGCAGCCAACGUUUCCUUCGUCUAGCACGCACCAUCAAGAAUUGAAAUAUUCCCGAAUAGCUCUGUGAAUAAAAAACUGCACACUUACUGUCCGAAUUUCCUGGAAUUUUUUGAUCGGUCUACGCUCGCGGGAAUGGUGGGUCCGUUGAGGAGAAGGAAAGAAAGGGUGGGAGCGAGGAUUACCCAAAAACGCGGCAUUGAGAAUGAGGGGAGGUGCGCUCAGCGCUCACGCUGGGACACUCACGAUGCUUGAAAUAAAAUGUUAACAAGCAUCGAUUUCAAGCAUGCAUGUCGCGCGACAUUUUGCCAAGCGGGUACAGGAGCUGCGCGUU